rnacentral:lncRNA from 1 species
CUGGCUUCAAUUUCCUGGUUUGUAUCAUGGAUAUAACAACAUAUAUUUUAUUAUGUGAUUAACUAUGUGUACAUGUCUCAUUCAGUGCCUGGCUUAGAGAAAGUGAUCUAUUCAUUUAUUAACUUUUAUCUUUUCUUGAUUUUGAAUGCAGAAGGUAGAGCCUGGAGAGUGUGACUAUAUUAACAUCAUGGAGAAAACGAUUUAUACAAAAUACCUUGUGGAUCAGCAUCUGCAUAAGAAAACACUUACAAUGCUUGAAAAUCAAGAUACCGUAUGAGCAUGAGGAGGAGAAGGAUGCAGAGGAAAAAGAGUCAAUGCUGUAGACCCUCAUAGUUAGUAUCUACCGACAUGAAGAUGGAUAAUCAGGAAGCGGUAAGGGUGGUGACAUCAUUUGCCUCCAUGUCUGUCUUAAUGGGUAACUGUG